AUACAGAGGGUGCGAGCGUUAAUCGGAAUUACUGGGCGUAAAGCGCGCGUAGGCGGCUUAUUAAGUCAGAUGUGAAAUCCCCGGGCUCAACCUGGGAACUGCAUCUGAUACUGGUAAGCUAGAGUUUGGGAGAGGGAAGUAGAAUUUCAGGUGUAGCGGUGAAAUGCAUAGAGAUCUGAAGGAAUACCAGUGGCGAAGGCGACUUCCUGGCCUAAAACUGACGCUGAGGUGCGAAAGCGUGGGUAGCAAACGGAAUUAGAAACCCUAGUAGUCC
rnacentral:rRNA from 1 species